AGCGAACGCUGGCGGCAGGCCUAACACAUGCAAGUCGAACGGACCCUUCGGGGUUAGUGGCGGACGGGUGAGUAACACGUGGGAACGUGCCCUUUGGUUCGGAACAACUCAGGGAAACUUGAGCUAAUACCGGAUGUGCCCUUCGGGGGCAAGAUUUAUCGCCAUUGGAGCGGCCCGCGUCUGAUUAGCUAGUUGGUGAGGUAAAGGCUCACCAAGGCGACGAUCAGUAGCUGGUCUGAGAGGAUGAUCAGCCACAUUGGGACUGAGACACGGCCCAAACUCCUACGGGAGGCAGCAGUGGGGAAUCUUGCGCAAUGGGCGAAAGCCUGACGCAGCCAUGCCGCGUGAAUGAUGAAGGUCUUAGGAUUGUAAAAUUCUUUCACCGGGGACGAUAAUGACGGUACCCGGAGAAGAAGCCCCGGCUAACUUCGUGCCAGCAGCCGCCGUAA
rnacentral:rRNA from 1 species